rnacentral:lncRNA from 1 species
UAUGUAGAAAGCUGAAACUGGACCCCUUCCUUAUAACCAAUUGGAUUAUCACUAGGGAGUAUUUUCAGGCCUUCCAAAGAAAGCCUAUUUGUCAUCCCUCCAUUGUUUCAUUCAAUGCAAAUAUUGAUAUGAAUAGUCCAAAAUGGCAGUUCACUGAAAAUCAUCAUAUUGGAAUCACUCUAGGGCUUCCAGCUAAUUGCUGAUGCAUCAUAUGGACAGGAGAAAGUAUCUGAGCU